rnacentral:rRNA from 1 species
UACGAAGGGGGGCUAGCGUUGUUCGGAAUUACUGGGCGUAAAGCGUGCGCAGGCGGUUCGUUAAGUCAGCUGUGAAAGCCCCGGGCUCAACCUGGGAAUUGCGGUUGAAACUGGCGGACUAGAAUCUGGCAGAGGGGGGGUGGAAUUCCACGUGUAGCAGUGAAAUGCGUAGAGAUGUGGAGGAACACCGAUGGCGAAGGCAGCCCCCUGGGCUGAGAUUGACGCUCAGGCACGAAAGCGUGGGGAGCAAACAGGG